UGUUCCUGCCUGAACGUGAGUGAAUAUAAACCAAACUCACCCUCUGAUGGGUUUGGUUUAUGACCAAUAGACGGUGGAAUUGUACUAAGUCUCAUUAUAGAGCCUAGGGGUGGGAGGAGACAUGGAACAGGAAUCUGAAAGGCCUGGCAAAAGGAAAAGAUGAGGACCUUCUGGAAUGAGUGCAGAGGAGGCUGUGAAGAUGCUGUGAGUGCUGUUGAAACAGGCUGUGAAGAU